rnacentral:rRNA from 1 species
AACGGAGGGGUUAUAUAUAUGUGUGUUUUUUCUCGCAGGACGAACGCUGGCGGCGUGCCUAAUACAUGCAAGUCGAGCGGACAGAAGGGAGCUUGCUCCCGGAUGUUAGCGGCGGACGGGUGAGUAACACGUGGGUAACCUGCCUGUAAGACUGGGAUAACUCCGGGAAACCGGAGCUAAUACCGGAUAGUUCCUUGAACCGCAUGGUUCAAGGAUGAAAGACGGUUUCGGCUGUCACUUACAGAUGGACCCGCGGCGCAUUAGCUAGUUGGUGGGGUAAUGGCUCACCAAGGCGACGAUGCGUAGCCGACCUGAGAGGGUGAUCGGCCACACUGGGACUGAGACACGGCCCAGACUCCUACGGGAGGCAGCAGUAGGGAAUCUUCCGCAAUGGACGAAAGUCUGACGGAGCAACGCCGCGUGAGUGAUGAAGGUUUUCGGAUCGUAAAGCUCUGUUGUUAGGGAAGAACAAGUGCGAGAGUAACUGCUCGCACCUUGACGGUACCUAACCAGAAAGCCACGGCUAACUACGUGCCAGCAGCCGCGGUAAUACGUAGGUGGSRASCGUUGUCCGGMAUUAUUCGGGCGUAAAGGGCUCGCAGGCGGUUUCUUAAGUCUGAUGUGAAAGCCCCCGGCUCAACCGGGGAGGGUCAUUGGAAACUGGGAAACUUGAGUGCAGAAGAGGAGAGUGGAAUUCCACGUGUAGCGGUGAAAUGCGUAGAGAUGUGGAGGAACACCAGUGGCGAAGGCGACUCUCUGGUCUGUAACUGACGCUGAGGAAGCGAAAAGACGKKGGGAGCGAACAGGAUUAGAUACCCUGGUAGUCCACGCCGUAAACGAUGAGUGCUAAGUGUUAGGGGGUUUCCGCCCCUUAGUGCUGCAGCUAACGCAUUAAGCACUCCGCCUGGGGAGUACGGUCGCAAGACUGAAACUCAAAGGAAUUGACGGGGGCCCGCACAAGCGGUGGAGCAUGUGGUUUAAUUCGAAGCAACGCGAAGAACCUUACCAGGUCUUGACAUCCUCUGACAACCCUAGAGAUAGGGCUUUCCCUUCGGGGACAGAGUGACAGGUGGUGCAUGGUUGUCGUCAGCUCGUGUCGUGAGAUGUUGGGUUAAGUCCCGCAACGAGCGCAACCCUUGAUCUUAGUUGCCAGCAUUUAGUUGGGCACUCUAAGGUGACUGCCGGUGACAAACCGGAGGAAGGUGGGGAUGACGUCAAAUCAUCAUGCCCCUUAUGACCUGGGCUACACACGUGCUACAAUGGACAGAACAAAGGGCUGCAAGACCGCAAGGUUUAGCCAAUCCCAUAAAUCUGUUCUCAGUUCGGAUCGCAGUCUGCAACUCGACUGCGUGAAGCUGGAAUCGCUAGUAAUCGCGGAUCAGCAUGCCCGGGUGGAAUACGUUCCCGGGCCUUGUACACACCGCCCGUCACACCACGAGAGUUUGCAACACCCGAAGUCGGUGAGGUAACCUUUAUGGAGCCAGCCGCCGAAGGUGGGGCAGAUGAUUGGGGUGAACUAGAAGGGGGGGCGCGCAGAGAGAAAAGGCGCCAUUAUA